UCUGCAUGAGAUCAAGCACAAGAGAGCUACAGAGGUACUGAAUGACAGCAUUUACCACCAGCCUCCAGACCAGCUGAAAUUUACUGGUGUGCCUGACUCCCUGAACAGGUGCUGGCAAAGAGCAAUGUGCCAUCACCAUGAACAAGGCUGAGAUGUAUGAGAUGUUGACCAAUGGGAUGGGAGACCAGAGAAAGGAGAGAGGAAAGUCAUUUCUCUGUGUUCAGGAAGAUGCAUGGUACUUUGGGAUUCCUGAUGAGAUAGAAAUUCAGUUAUGAAUAUGCUAGAAUCUACCCAUUGUUGGAUUUAUAAGGUAAAUGACAUCAAUAUACCAUUUUGAAUAUAACAGAGCCUCUCUUUUAUGUCCUUCCUACUGAUAUGAUACAAUGAAAAAUUAUGAGCUCUUUAGACCUUACAUAUUGCCUAUGUUUGCAAUUAUUAGCACGCUGGGAAAAAGAAAAGUAGGUAUUUUCUUUGUUAAUAGUGCAAGUUCUGACUCAAAAGGAAAUUUAAUCACUAGAAGAAAUAUAACCUUGACCUUAUUUUAAAAUAUGUAUCUGUAAGGUAUGUUAUUUCACAAGGUACAAUAGGGUAAAAGCUUGCCUACAAUUCACAGUGAGACACAGUGUUACUAAUUCAAGCUGCUUGUACUGCAGGUAAAGAACGCCUACCCCCAACUCCUCUGCAUUCUGCUCUCCAACCCAGCAGAGAAUUAAGGGACCAAAGCUGGUGAUCCCACAGCCUUUUAUCAAGCCCACGUUUCUCACUGGCUCCCAGAGGCUGCAGUCUGCUGUCUGCGGGAAUUGGAUACAUGCAUCAUUUGCAGAAAUUCUUUUCUCCGUCUGUCAGCAAAGAUUGCAAACCAUGAAGACUCACAGCAGUGGUGCCAUGAGGGCAUUCUCGAAUGUCUACAGAUUUGGAAAUCCUUUAAAUUUACUGAUACUGAGUUCUCCAUUGCUGGAAGUAUUCAAAUACAGAAUAAUAUGGGUGAAUGUCUUAAAAGGGAAUCAAGGCAGGAACAGAAAAUCUCUAGCAUUUCUUCAAAGCCUGGCAUUUUUAAUCAGUGUUUUAUACUAACUAAUUUCCAUAUUAUAUAAAGGAAGACAAAUACCACUAGCAAAAAUAGAUAGGAAUGCAGGGGGGGGAAGCAUCUAAGCCUUUAAUUUUAUAAAAUUAGUGUUUAUUGUGAAUUUGCAAAAGUAUUUUUAUAAGUACAUGUGUUAUGUAAUGUUUUUGAUUUCUCUUAAAAUAUUAAUAGUGUAGAAAAUUAUAACUUUAUAUAAAUGAUUUUUAUAUUAUAUUCUCUUUAUUGUUUUGAAGUUUGGUGCUUAUGCAAUGGCCUCCAAUCGGUGUCCACAUCCUAAUUCCUGGAACCUGUGAAUAUCUUCUAUUGCACACAAAAGGGUGUUAAGGUAGCAGGUGAAAUAAAGGUUGAUAAUCAGAUAACCUUGAGAUGGGGAGAUUAUCCUGAAUUAUGUGGCCACACCAUGUAAUCACAAAGGCUCUUAAAUGUGGAAGAGGAAGGCAGGUGGGUUAGAGUGAUGCCAUCACUGGCUUUGAAGACAGAAUAGGGCAACUAGCCAAAGAAUGCACGCAGCUUUUAGAAGCUGGAAAAGGCAAAAAAACAGGUCUCCCCGAAAGCCCCAAGAAGGGAAUGAAGUACUGCCAGCACCUCCUUUUGGACUGGGUGAGAUCAAGGGUGUGACUUCUGACCUCUGAACUAUGAGAUUUGUGUUGCUUUAGGCCACUAAGUUUGUGUUACUCACGGAAAUAGGAAACUAGUGCAGUGAUAAAUAAAAGCCUCAAGUGGUUGUUUCUUUCUGCUUGUCUUUGGUCACAAGUAACAUACAGUUCAAUCUGAUUGGGGUAGCACCUCAGAAAGGCAAAGUGCUCUCGGGCCUCAGGCAUGGCUGGAAUCAUGGAUUCAAAUAACACCAAAUGUUUUUCUCUCCAUCUGGUUUUUUCCACUUUUCUGUACGUCGACUUCGAUAUCUCAAGUAGUUUCUUCACCACGGAAGACUUGGUCAUAGGCAGCAGGCAGAUGCUGGACACCGAUACCUUCAUCUCCAAGUAGAAUUCUCAACUGGAAAAAAAAAAAAA